UACGUAGGGUGCAAGCGUUAUCCGGAAUUACUGGGCGUAAAGCGCACGUAGGCGGCUUUGUAAGUUAGAGGUGAAAGCCCGGGGCUCAACCCCGGAAUUGCCUUUAAGACUGCAUCGCUUGAAUCCAGGAGAGGUGAGUGGAAUUCCGAGUGUAGAGGUGAAAUUCGUAGAUAUUCGGAAGAACACCAGUGGCGAAGGCGGCUCACUGGACUGGUAUUGACGCUGAGGUGCGAAAGCGUGGGGAGCAAACAGGG
rnacentral:rRNA from 1 species